rnacentral:rRNA from 1 species
CCUACGGGGGGCAGCAGUGGGGAAUAUUGGACAAUGGGCGCAAGCCUGAUCCAGCCAUACCGCGUGGGUGAAGAAGGCCUUCGGGUUGUAAAGCCCUUUUGUUGGGAAAGAAAAGCAGCCGGUUAAUACCUGGUUGUUCUGACGGUACCCAAAGAAUAAGCACCGGCUAACUUCGUGCCAGCAGCCGCGGUAAUACGAAGGGUGCAAGCGUUACUCGGAAUUACUGGGCGUAAAGCGUGCGUAGGUGGUUGUUUAAGUCUGUCGUGAAAGCCCUGGGCUCAACCUGGGAAUUGCGAUGGAAACUGGGCGACUAGAGUGUGGCAGAGGAUAGUGGAAUUCCUGGUGUAGCAGUGAAAUGCGUAGAGAUCAGGAGGAACAUCCGUGGCGAAGGCGACUGUCUGGGCCAACACUGACACUGAGGCACGAAAGCGUGGGGAGCAAACAGGAUUAGAUACCCCAGUAGUC